GACGAACGCUGGCGGCGUGCUUAACACAUGCAAGUCGAACGGAAAGGCCCUGCUUUUGUGGGGUGCUCGAGUGGCGAACGGGUGAGUAACAAGUGAGUAACCUGCCCUUGACUUUGGGAUAACUUCAGGAAACUGGGGCUAAUACCGGAUAGGAGCUCCUGCUGCAUGGUGGGGGUUGGAAAGUUUCGGCGGUUGGGGAUGGACUCGCGGCUUAUCAGCUUGUUGGUGGGGUAGUGGCUUACCAAGGCUUUGACGGGUAGCCGGCCUGAGAGGGUGACCGGCCACAUUGGGACUGAGAUACGGCCCAGACUCCUACGGGAGGCAGCAGUGGGGAAUAUUGCACAAUGGGCGGAAGCCUAAUGCAGCAACGCCGCGUGCGGGAUGACGGCCUUCGGGUUGUAAACCGCUUUCGCCUGUGACGAAGCGUGAGUGACGGUAAUGGGUAAAGAAGCACCGGCUAACUACGUG
rnacentral:rRNA from 1 species